UGUGAUUGGUCAAUCUGCCUCGGUGGCAGCUGCAACUCGUUGGCAAUCAUGCAGCUGUGACUCAUUACCUAGUUAAGGGCCUGUAUGAGGGUCUGACUUCCUGGGCAUGAGAGAGAGGACUAAAUACUGCUCAUAAUGUGGCAACCAUUUGGGCUCUCAGAGUAUCUGUAAGAAUGAUUACACUGACCUAGCUUAAGUAAUUCAAGCUGAAAGACCCUGUGUAGCGCAGGCCUCCCGCUUGCCCAGUGCUCUCGCGGCCAGAGAAGCGCUCACAGCGCAGUCUUACCUGUUUCUCUGCUCCAGAGGUCCAGAACGUCUGCCUGAUCCCCGCCUGCAGAAUGCUGGAGAGGCCCUCCAUGCUGAAGCGCUGUUAGAAAUCAUAUGCUCAGCCGAGGCUGCUAAAGCACUGCAGCAGUCUCCAUCAGCGGAGACGUGGCCUGUCCCAGGGGGCGGGGCCGGCUGUACCUUCGCAUGAGCUGUUGUUGUUGGAGGCCCGAGACAACACCCUG